GGGGAAAUGGCGCAGUGGUAGCGCGUCGAGUUUGCAUUCUGUCAUAGACGUUCAGCAACAUCUCGAAGGACCAGGGUUCAAUCCCCUGUUUCUCCA